CAUAACCACUGCCCCCACGCGCACAGCAGCCAGAAUGGCUUGAGUGUCCCCUGUGUGCUGGGUCCUGGUGGGAUCCCUGGGAACAGCCAGACAGAGCCCCUGCCUGUGGGUGGAGGGAGGGCCCGCACCGCAGCACAGGCAGGAAGUGGUCAGGCUGUGAGGGAGGUCCAGAUUUUGUGUUCAGGGUUUGUUUGCAGCAGGGAGUGGCCUUCCAGCUGGAGAAGUGAGGUGGACGUCGAGGACAUCUGGGCUCGCCCUGCGAGGAAGGGUAGGAUUUCAGCAUGUGAAGAUGGGAAGAGGCUCUUCCAGACGGAGCAAACGCCCGAGCAAGAACGAACCUACGCCCAGCAAGCAUUUAAUCCCGCAACCUGCCACCUCCAAGCUCUGCCCUCUUACCCACUUCAAACUAGACCACGGCCUUCAGUGCUCCAGGGAAAAGGAGGUCACAGUCAAAAGGUGGAUGGAUCCACGCCUGGCUAUGUCGUCGAUCCUGCUGGCUGCCUGUUUCCUGAUGUUUCCUCUCUGUGCCAGUGAGGCUCGUGGAAGGACCCUUUUCCACCAGGAGAUGGGAGACCUGGUGGUUCCCAUGGCACUUCACAGCCAGUAAAGCACCAUCUCCUCAUUUCUUCUGAACACCCAACAGUAUGUCAAGAGGUAAAGGUGAGGUUCAUGGUCAAAGUCAUGGACAAAGAAACUCAAAGUCGGGCUUCAAACCCACACCCCUGGCCUUGGAUCCUGAGCUCUUGGACAGCCUCAUCUCAUGACUGAAUGAAUGAGAAUGUGCUCGGGCUGCACAGGGAGAUGGCAUCCACUACUGCGAGGUGACUCUGAGACAGGGGGCCGCUGGCUGGACAGGUGCUGGGGAAGCCCAGAGGAGACAGGAGGCUUCCUGCCUGUGAGGGACCAGGGCCAGGAGCUUGACUGGGGAAGGCUGGCCUGCUCAGUUUGUUUGCUGUGUAUUUAUUUUUCUCAAUUCAGGCUCUGCCACUCACCUACCAUGUGACCCAAGCGAGCCACUCCACUUUGAUGCCUCAAUGGCCUCAGUGGUCAUCUAGAAAGAACAGCUGUCCUGUUGGCCCCUGGACUGGGUAGGGAUCCAAUGAGUUGAUGGGAGAUGGAGGUUAUGGUCAUGUGGCUGUCUGUUGCCCAUCCAUCAUCUAUUUACCUCUUCUUUCUUCAUUGGACCCCAGUUCUGCUCAUCCUUCCUACCCCCAGGUUUAACACUGGAUCCCAAUUAAUCUAAGUCAAUCAGCACACGACCUUCCCCAAGAGACUGUUAUCAGUUGGGAAUGACUCAAGUCGUCCUAUUUGAACCAAGGAAAAGGACUCACAGCCUGUGGUUGGGAGAGAAGUCCUCUCUUGCUCUCUCCUGCUGGACAUUCACAUGGAAGCCAGUAGCUCCCAUUGAUUGCCAUUGUCAGCCGUCUUUCAUCCUGAGGAGAGUGACAGCUGUCACAAGGGACCACAAAGGGAAGUGUCUGAGGACAAGAGAGAAAUGGAAAAGUCUGCAUUCUUGAAGACACCAGGAGCUGAUGGUGGUGCUGGAGCCACACACCCUGGAGUUGCUGUGGUGUGAGGUGGUGCGUUGUCUUGUUUUAUUUAGAUGUUGGAGCCUGCGUGUACUCUUACUUGCAGCCAAAGCAUCUUCAGUGCCCCUUGUCAUCUUCAGUUUCUGAGGCACAGAGGAGGAAUGAGGCGCCCUCCCCACGCUGACCCACUCUUGAUACUCAAGCUAGGAGGACAGUUGCGAAACCUCCGGGCACCCAGCCAGAGCUGACGACUUGUUCACAGCUUUUUUGGACCUCUGCAUUCUUUCCUCUGUUUCUCUGGCCAGACAACUCCUCUCCCUCCGCAGCUGGUCUCUGGCCCGGGCCCAGGCCACCCCAUUGACAUUAACGUUGCAAGAUUGAUGGAACAGGGAGACAGAGAGCCUGGAAUUUGAGGCCCCAGCCCAGGGUGCUCCCUUUGCUCAGCCUGUUUUUCUCCCUCCUCUCCCCACAGGGACCUCAGCCACUUUGCAGCCUUAGGAUUAUGGGUUUCAGAGCAUAAGGGCCCCAGGAGACAACCCAGUACAACCUCUUUGGUGUGCGAAAGUGAAAACUGGGGCCCAGAGGUAGGCAAGGUGCUUGCCCUGGGUCACACAGAGCUGGGACUAGAACCCAGGUACCUUGACUCCAAGUCCACGACUCUUUCCAUACACAACAGGAAGGUUGUAAAUUGGCAUAACUUUUUCUGCUUUGAUUAGUGACUGUGUACCCGAAGUCUCUUGUUUUGAUCUUCCUUUUCCAUCCCUAUGGCUGCUGGGCUGAUUUGGCUUCAUGGUCCCUUGCUUGGAUGCUGGCCUCAUUCUAAUAGUCUGUCCCAUUCCUAUCUGCAACCUGGCCACUGAUGCAACGGCCAGAGGGAUUGUUCUUCAUACCGACCUGACUCUGUCAUCUGCCUGCUUCACUACCUCCAGGAUGGGAUGCGGGAUCCACGACCUGGCAUACAGCAUCCCUCAUGAUGGACCACUGCCCAACCUCACCAGUCAGAUAAGACCUA